GGGGAUAUGGUUCUAUGGUAGAGUGCUUGCCCUAGCAUGCAUGAGGCCCUGGGUUCAAUUCCCAGUACCACAA
rnacentral:tRNA from 1 species